rnacentral:lncRNA from 1 species
CCAUCACAGCUGAGGCCUCAGCUGAGAAGACUCAAGGCUGAGGUUGACUCAACAGCUGGGUCUAGAAUCAUCUGAGACCUUGUUCACGUACAUACGGCACCUGGGCAAGAAGGACUUGAAGAGGAGGACUGCCACCUGGAACAUUUUCACGUGGUCUCUCCACGUGGCUUGGCUCCCUCCCAGCAAGGCAACCUCAGGAGAGUAAGACCUAUCUGCCAGGGCUCAGGGCUCCUACCACGACUAUUCCUGGGAAGAAGACAGAACUUCACUGUCAUUCAUGAGCAAGCCAUGGAAGUCACAUACAGCUCUUCCAAUGCAUUUCAUGAGAUGCAUGGGAGACACAAGCUGCCUGGAUUUAAAAAGGAGGGCUGUAGACCUCACUUCUCACUAGGAAGAAUGCUGAAGAAUUGGAAGAUGUGUCUUCAAAUCACCACAUAAAAGAAUUGAGAAGUUGGCUGUAGCUACUACUUCUAGAAACUUGACCUAGUGGCCUGGCGUUUUGGGAACUUUGCUAGCUUAUUCAGCACAGGUAACUCAGGGUAAAAAUAACCUGAAGAAGAAAUGUAAUAAUCACUCACUUAUCUUCACCCCAAUUCAGCCAGGGCUAGAUAAUUUUUAGUUUUGAGCCUUUUUUAAAAAAAAAAAUAAAAAGAAACCUGGUAAUAACACAUCUUUGUCUUUUUCUCUUCUUUAAUAGGCUAGAGUUGAUAUUUAAGACUUUAGAAAGGUGCUUCUGGGAAUUUCAACAUUUGGCAGCUGGUAAUAAGUAGGAAAUGUCAUUACAUAAACGCCAGUUUGAGUUUAGAGGCAGGUGGUAUUUUGGAGAAGUCAGUAUCAAUGUGAGGCUGUAGCCACACUGACCGCCUCCAGCCCAUCUGCAGAGACAUUUCUGUCUCUGGCAAGUAAAGCCCCCUCCCUCUGUCUGCUUUGACUGCCUCUCUGAGUUCCCCUUUUUUCUGACCUUGAGUUUCAACUUGAUGAGUCAUCAAAAGGACUGGGCCACUGGAUUCUACCUGGCAAGAACUUCAGUGGCUGUGCCUGUGGUCUGCAGUUUGGGUCUGGAAUCAAGUCUCCUAUUGUUGCAGGCCUUUGACGCUCAUCCUGACUCCUGACUGAUGAAUUAUUUGGUCGACUGAGGCAGAAUCACCUUUACUGGAGCAUAAUCUGUUGGAGGCAGCAUCUCCUGAAGUCUCCAUGAGUUGCUGGAAUGAAGAUGCAAGAGGAAAUUUGGAGAUGUUGCUUGAAAGUUUAAAGUAUUGGUGUUACCGAACCAUUAGAAUAUUACAUAUGGACAACGCCCAUCCAUUAGAAUAUUACGUAUGGACAACAUGGUGGAACAUUUCGAAUAAGGCUGUAUGAGAAGCACGGCACCAGCAUCUUUUUCUGGUGAGGACUUCAGGCUGCUUCCACUCAUGGUUGAAGAUGAAGGAGAGCCA